rnacentral:lncRNA from 1 species
UUAUUAAUGUGGUAUUUUGUAGGACUAUUAAAAGUCUAGGAGGAUUACGUUUAAGAAAUGUAUUGAGAUAUUUUUGUUUUAUCGGAUUAAACAAAGAAUUAUUGAUAUUUAGAUCAAAAUGUGGUAUGAAGUAAUACCGACGAUGGUAAUAAUAAUGGCUGGCUUGGGAUUACCACAUCACGCUGCCCAUUAUUUAUGUUUAAAAAUAUGUGACACUCCAAAACGUAGGUUAUUAACAGAUAACUGGAAUUUGCUUAUGUAUAUAAGAGAUUCACGUUUAUGUGAUCAUCCAAUGACCGCAGGGAAAAUGGGACUGGAGAAUAUACCUGAUGAAUGAGAAGUACAACAAAUUCGAGUAAUAGUAUCUUAGAUCUAUUAUGUAAAUACAAGUAUUUAAUACAAAAUAUAUAUUACAUUGAAAAA